rnacentral:rRNA from 1 species
GGCCUCAAAUCAAGCAAGACUACCCGCUGAACUUAAGCAUAUCAGUAAGCGGAGGAAAAGAAACUAACAAGGAUUCCCCUAGUAACGGCGAGUGAAGCGGGAAUAGCUCAAAUUUAAAUCUCGGCGUUUUACGUCGCGAAUUGUAGUCUAAAGAGGGUGAUCUAGGGUUGGUGGUGUGCUCAAGUUCCUUGGAAUAGGACGCCAGAGAGGGUGAGAGCCCCGUAACAGCACAUUGCCUUCCUCAAGUGAGAGCCUCUCAACGAGUCGAGUUGUUUGGGAAUGCAGCUCAAAGUGGGUGGUAAAUCUCAUCUAAGGCUAAAUACUGGCAAGAGACCGAUAGCGAACAAGUACCGUGAGGGAAAGAUGAAAAGCACCUUGAAAAGGGAGUUAAAUAGUGCGUGAAAUUGUUAAAAGGGAAACGAUAGAGACUAG